CCUACGGGUGGCUGCAGUGGGGAAUAUUGCGCAAUGGGCGAAAGCCUGACGCAGCGACGCCGCGUGAGGGAUGAAGGUCUUAGGAUCGUAAACCUCUGUCAGCAGGGAAGAACGGUCACUGUGCUAUUCAGCAGUGUAUUGACGGUACCUGCAAAGGACGCACCGGCUAACUCCGUGCCAGCAGCCGCGGUAAUACGGAGGGUGCGAGCGUUAAUCGGAAUUAAUGGGCGUAAAGCGCUCGUAGGCGGUAUGUCAAGUCAAGGGUGAAAGCCCCGGGCUCAACGUGGGAACUGCCUUUGAAACUGGCAAACUUGAGUGUGUGAGAGGAUAGUGGAAUGCCAGGUGUAGGGGUGAAAUGCGUAGAUAUCUGGAGGAACAUCAGUGGCGAAGGCGACUAUCUGGCACAUAACUGACGCUGAGGAGCGAAAGCGUGGGGAGCAAACAGGAUUAGAUACCCCUGUAGUG
rnacentral:rRNA from 1 species